UAGCUUGCUAGGCCGAUGGCGACCGGCGCACGGGUGAGUAACACGUAUCCAACCUGCCGUCUACUCUUGGACAGCCUUCUGAAAGGAAGAUUAAUACAAGAUGGCAUCAUGAGUCCGCAUGUUCACAUGAUUAAAGGUAUUCCGGUAGACGAUGGGGAUGCGUUCCAUUAGAUAGUAGGCGGGGUAACGGCCCACCUAGUCUUCGAUGGAUAGGGGUUCUGAGAGGAAGGUCCCCCACAUUGGAACUGAGACACGGUCCAAACUCCUACGGGAGGCAGCAGUGAGGAAUAUUGGUCAAUGGGCGAGAGCCUGAACCAGCCAAGUAGCGUGAAGGAUGACGG
rnacentral:rRNA from 1 species